UUUUCCAUAGCUGCCAAAGAAGGGGCCGUCCCAUGGUGCGCAGCUAGCAGAGCAAUGAAAGGUGCUGCCUCCACCACCUCAGAGAAAAACUUCUGCCAACUUGCCAUUCCAGGGAAGAGGCUGGACACACACUACAUUGAUUUUGUUCACUGAUUCAGUGCUUUAUCUGUGCCAGCUGUGGAAAACCAGGACAGAACAGAAUAACGUGAUGAAUACCAAUCCUGACCAAAUGCAGCUUCUAACUCUUACAAGAAGCAUCUGUAAGUGAUACUGACACAUUUGUGAAGUGCCCUCAGUCCAGCAUUCUUCAAUCCAAUGGUCAAGUGUAUUGCUCAUCCUCAUGCUGUGGUAUCUCUCGUGAUUUCUACAUUGUUCACCAGUGCGAGGGAUACCGGUAGAACUGGUGAAAGCCUGGGCCAAGCUAUUCCAUGCAUCUGACAUGUAAUCCAAUCCAUGAUAUUGCCUCUGCAAUAGCUGCAGCCCAUGUUCAUUCACUAGGAGUCCAACAAAUGCUUUGAAUUCCUGGACAUCACAUCUUUGAGCACAAAAUCUCAAAACCUCUCCACGAACACCUGACAUUUUUAACACAGACAAAGACCAAUGUAGAAUGAUGUUUUCCUGCCAAUUCCAGUUCUCACAGAUGCUGACAGCCUGCACUCUUGAAUUUUGCAACAUUUGAAAAUUAUGCACAUUGCUUACCAUUGUGAAAACAAAGACAUAAUAACCAAGGAAAAACGUUAAGCCAAGCUGCAGUCCAAACAUCCUUUAUUACAACUUCACAAACAUGAAAUGCCUCUGUUAAGUGUUUUCAUCCCAAACUUCUCAGGACUUCAUCAGAACAAAGGAAUUACCCCAAACCAGUCCAUAAAUACAUGCCUAAUUAGUUAACUAAAAUCAAUAAUAUCCAGUUACAAAAAUCUCUUGAGCCUUAAAAAUAUACACUUAUUAAAAUGUAUAUGUGUAUAGGAAUAAUACAUAUAUACUGUAUGAGUAAAGCCUAACUUUUAUGACACAUACAGCACUGUUGCAUGACCUUUUAUUAAACAUGAAUUUAUCAUUCUAAAAUGUUUCCAAACUUUAACAUGGAAUUGAUGCUUACACACAUUAAUUCCAGAGGCUUUUGUCGCAUUCAAAAUUAACUGCCAUUUAAGUUUGUAAAAACGUAAACUCAUCCACAAACACAACCACAGAACAAUGUAUCAAUUCAUCCAGCAAAGAUCGACAAUUCACCCACCAAAUAGAUGAAAAACUUCCAGGAAGGCAACAGGAUA